rnacentral:lncRNA from 1 species
GGAGAAAGAAUAAAACUUGGGCUCGAGCAAUUUUUAGGCCUAAUUUUUUAUCAAACCCAUAAUUCCUAGGCCUAUACCCCUAACCUAAUACCUACCCUAUAUAAUAGUACCUAAUCCCUAAAUUGACCUAGGCAAAAAACCUUACAUUUUUAUCCGCGCCGCUUGACACAAAAAAGGACCCCAACCUGAUCUUCUUCUUCAUGAAAAAAGCCAACAAGAAAAAACCCAGAGCUCUAAGGAAGCUUAAGCCGCAGCAGCCAUGAAAAGAAGCUCCACCCUAACUCUACCGCCUCUGUCGUCUCCCUCAUCCCCAGCCUCAGAAAAUCAGUAGCCAUCAGACCUCACUGCCUGAAACCCGCCGGAAAACAACCCCUUCCUUUCCAGUUUCAGUCACACACAAACACAACUGAAAAAACGACCUUAAUCCCAAUCAAAAGCCCAGCGGAAACGCGCUUGAAUCACCUCUGAACUCCAGCCAUUAGAAGCAGCGAAACAAGCUGCAAAUAGCUCUCAAACCGUUCAAGUACGAGCAGCUUUUUGAUCGUGGUUUGAGUCGCUGAAGUUGGGUCCGAUUGCCGUCGAGUUCGAGUUAGACAGAGUUUCCGUUCGUUAGCUUCAGUUCCGGUUCUCUGUUUUGGGGUGGGUUCGAUCUCCUCUACUGGGAUUUUGGGAAUGAAAACGUGGAUCUAGUCCGGAAUAUUGUCGAUCUAGAGAUCACCGAAGCUGUUACGCAAAAGUUUUCUGCAAGGCAAGUCCAAGUUCCAUUUAUUCGACCACUUACACAUUUCCUCUAAAAUUGAUUUGCUUGGAUUUAGUUUACGCAUACCUGUUUAUAUAUGUCAACGCUUGUUUUCUAAUUCUACAUCUGAUUUUAACAUGCUACUGAGCCUGCAUGGCCAGUGAAAUUGAUUAUAGCAUCUUAUUGACAAUUUAUGUAUGAUAUUUAAACUUUUCUUAUUAUUCCAUAUGGUGAUUUACUCAUAGUUACAUUUAGAGGUCUCAUGUAUAUUAUGUCAGAAAUUAUCUGUGUGGAAAUUAAGUGUUUGACAAAUAUGGUUUCGAGAAGCUUAGCUGCCUUAGCAACCUGCGUUUAUAUCAGGCACAAGUAGGAUUUACAUUCCUUUUCUAUUUUCAAAGGCUCAAUCCUAAUAAUUAUCUAUGCUUAAAAAACAAUUAGGAAGCAAGUGAAUUUCUUGCGUACUGAUGCAUAUCUUUUGUUUUGCUUAAUUUGCUUGUAAAGAAAAAUGUUUAAAUUUUUGGUUGGUAAAAUUAUCCAUCAUAACAAGUUGCUUAUUUGAUUGAAAGGAGCAAGUGAGUGAUUUCCAUAUAAAUUAAGGUAUGCGUUCGUCCAACUUCGAACAAACUUCCUUAAUAAUAAAAUUAGUUUUCAUAGGUUACUAAUACUCCGGGGUGAGCCAUCCACGUUUUAAUCAUACAUGGCCCUCAUAUAAAUUUCGUAUAAUUUAGAUAUUAAAAAUGAAUCUCUAGUAGUUUGCUUUAGGAGCAUUAAUUAAAUAAACCGUCAUAGCUACGGUUACGGUUCCCAUGACGUAGUUGUGAUGCUUAAUUUCCAAAUUCGGGGUACAUUUGUGUGACCCGGCCACAAUUUAAUCUUUUUAAAUAAAAUGAGUACGUUGUGGAUCGUGGGUACGGCUCUCGUGACAUGAUUCGCAAUCGUGCAAUCAAUAAUUAGUUGUAUAACAAUUGGAUUAUUAAAAGCGAUUUUAAAAGGAAUAAAAUGCACAUAGGUUUUAAAUAUGUAAUUAAUCAGAUAACUAAGUCAAUUAAUAAUAGUUGAGCAACCGUGCUAAAAUUACGGAACCCGGGAAUGCCUAACACAUUCUCCCGGGUUAACAGAAUUCCUGACCCGGAUCUCUGUGUUUUGCGGACUGUAAAACAGAGUCAAAAUUCCUCGGUUUGGGAUUUUAAACCAUUGACUUGGGACACCAAUAAACUAUCCCAAGUGAUGACUCUGAAUUUUAAAUAAAAUAAUCCCGUUUCGAUUGUCACUUAAAUUGGAAAAAACUCCCUUAUAUACCCUUUCGGUGGUAAAAAAAGAGGUGUGACAGUGGAAACAAGAGGUAAAGCAGUAGUUGAGGCUUGAAUUCUCUUCGUGGCAUCGAGGUAAGUGAUUGGUCUAACCUUAGCUUGAGGGAUUAGGAGUUGUAUCUUAUUUGCUAUGUGUUAAUUGUGGAGUACGACGUAUAAGCAUGGUGACGAGUAUCUAUACGUCGGUGUCAAGCAUACCCGUGAGUCUCGUAUGGUAAUUGUUGUGACUUCAUUAUAAUUUGUUCAUGCUUAAUAUAAUGAUUAUCAUUGUUAGUUCCCUUACCGGGAUGUCAUUGUUAUGAUAUUGUUUCCCUUGCUGUGAUGUUAUUGUUUACGAUAUUGUCUCCCUUGCCGGGAUGUUAUUGUUAUACUCGUGUUCCUUGCCGGGAUUCUUUUAUGAUUGAUGUUGAUUUUUCAAAUGGGAUAGGGUUGCACGCCUACAACAAGAUAUAUGAAAUGGGAUCGGGUGGCACGCCGCCACGGUGAUAUAUGAAAUAGGAUCGGGUUGCACGCCUGCAACAAGAUAUAUGAAAUGGGAUCGGGUGGCACGCUGCCACGGUGAUAUAUGAAACGGGAUCGGAUUGCACGCCUACAACAGGAUAUAUGAAAUGGGAUCAAGUGACAUGCCGCCACGGUGAUACAUAAAAUGGGAUCGGGUUGCACGCCUACAACAAGAUAUAUGAAAUGGGAUCGGGUUGCACGCUGUAACAAGAUAUAUGAAAUGGGAUCGUGUGGCACGCCGCCAUGGUGAUAUAUGAAAUGGGAUCGGGUUGCACGCCUGCAAUGAGGAAGAAAUGAAAGUGAAUAUUGUGUUUGUUUUCCUUAUUCUUGUUGGCAUUUAAAUGUUGGUUUCUUUACAUUCCUCUUUUGGUAUUCUUUUGUUAGCUGAUAUUCCCCGCAACAUGUUUUCCCCUCCCAUCUUUAGCUGUAAUUAUCUGCUUUUAUCUUUCCAUUGUAUAUGAUUUAAUUGCACAUGUUUAUUUGGUAGUCUGGUCCUAGCCUCGUCACUACUUCACCGAUGUUAGGCUAGGUACUUACCAGCACAUGGGGUCGGUUGUGCUGAUACUAAACUCUAAAUUGUGUACAGAUCCCGGUGCUACAACUUUUGGACCGCAGUGAGGUUGCUGUCUUCAGUCCAAUAGGCGACCCGAAGUAGUCAUGUAGGCAUCCACAGGCCUUAGCGUCUCCCUCUAUCUUUCCAUUCUGUUUCUUUUAUGUAUUUUAGAGACAACUUUGUACUUAUCUUUUAAACCUCUGUUUGUAGUAUUCGUAGAUAGUCCGUGACUUUGUGACACCAAAUUUUGGGUAGUGUUAUAUAUCGGAUUCAUAUAACAAUGUUUGGUUAAACUAUUAAGUUUUCGUCUUUCGCAUUUCUGGUUUUUUAAUUAUUUCGAUGUUUGAUCACCUAUUAUAUUGGUAUCAGAGCUCUAGGUUAGUUAGGCCUCACAAUUCACGGACAAGCUUAGUAGAGUCUGAGAGAUCGGUUCGGAGACGUCUAUAUUUAUCCCCCAGAGGCUACAGAGUUAGGAAAAACUUCACAUCUAUUCUUUCCUGUCGUGCCGUUUGGUUUCUCAAUGCUAAUUGAAUUUAUACUCUGUUCUUUAGCAGAUGGCAAGAACAUGCGCUUUCUCAUCUACUGAUCAGUAUCCCGAGCCCCCAACAGCAGCUCCCACGAGGGGGAGACAGCGAGGUCAAGGCCGUGAUGGAGGCCGAGGCAGGGGCAAAGCUUAGCCUAGAGCAGCAGCACUAGCGGCGGAGCCUCAGGUUGAGUUUGAUGAUGAGGUUUCGGCCCAGCCAGUUCCGGUGGGCCCUGCUCAUGUAUCAGAGGGGUUCAUUUUUACCCCAGUACUCCAGGAUGCUCUG